rnacentral:rRNA from 1 species
UCAAGCUACUAAGGGCAUGCGGUGGAUGCCUAGGCGCCAGGAGCCGAAGAAGGACGCGGUAAGCUGCGAAAAGCCACGGGGAACUGCAAGCGAGUAUUGAUCCGUGGAUAUCCGAAUGGGGAAACCCGGCCAUCGUAAUGGAUGGUCAUCCGCAAGGAAGGGAACCCGGGGAACUGAAACAUCUAAGUACCCGGAGGAAAAGAAAUCAAACGAGAUGCCCACAGUAGCGGCGAGCGAAGAGGGCAGAGCCCAAACCUGUAAGCUACGGCUUAUGGGGGUUGAGGACUGACGGAAUUAAGGCCAGGCUUAGCUGAACUACCUGGGAAGGUAGGCUAGAUAAGGUAAGAGCCCUGUAAGCGAAAAGCAGAGCCUUAAGGUCAGUAUCCAGAGUACCACGGAGCACGAGGAAUUCUGUGGGAAGCAGGGGGGACCACCCUCCAAGGCUAAAGACUAACUGGCGACCGAUAGCGCAUAGUACCGUGAGGGAAAGGUGAAAAGAACCCCGGGAGGGGAGUGAAACAGUACCUGAAACCGUAUGUCUACAAGCAGUCGGAGCGAAAGCGACGGCGUGCCUAUUGAAGAAUGAACCAACGAGUUAUCUGCACUAGCGAGGUUAAGUGGAAGACACGGAGCCGUAGCGAAAGCGAGUCUGAAAAGGGCGAUGAGUUAGUGUAGGUAGACCCGAAACCGCAGUGAUCUACCCAUGUCCAGGUUGAAGCGCAGGUAAAAAUGCGUGGAGGACCGAACCGGUGAGCGUUGAAAAGCUUUCGGAUGAGAUGUGGGUAGGGGUGAAAUUCCAAUCGAACGCGGAGAUAGCUGGUUCUCCCCGAAAUAGCUUUAGGGCUAGCCUCAGGUAGUAAGUAUAGGCGGUAGAGCACUGAUCGGGCUAGGGGCCAUAAAGGUUACCGAACCCUGUCAAACUCCGAAUGGAUAUACUGCAGAGCCUGGGAGUCAGACUACGAGUGAUAAGAUCCGUGGUCAAAAGGGAAACAGCCCAGACCACCGGCUAAGGUCCCAAAUGCCGUACUAAGUGGAAAAGGAUGUGGGGAUUCAUAAACAACCAGGAUGUUGGCUCAGAAGCAGCCACCAUUUAAAGAGUGCGUAAUAGCUCACUGGUCGAGAGUCCCUGCGCCGAAAAUUUCCGGGGCUAAAGUACGGAACCGAAGCCGUGGCUGUGCAUGUAAGUGCACGGGGUAGGGGAGCGUUGCCACAGGGGUGAAGCUGGUCUGGAAGGACUGGUGGACUUGUGGGAAGUGAGAAUGUUGGUAUGAGUAGCGAAAAGAAAGGUGAGAAUCCUUUCCACCGAAAGCAUAAGGAUUCCUGAGCAACGAUCGUCGUCUCAGGGUAAGUCGGGACCUAAUCCGAGGCAAAGAGCGUAGGAGAUGGACAACAGGUUGAUAUUCCUGUACCGGCAGCAAUUGUUUGAGCGAAGGAGUGACACAGAAGGGCAGGCAGGCGCGAGACUGGAUUGUCGCGUGCAAGCGUGUAGGGUAGUGUACAGGCAAAUCCGUACACUCUGGGCCUGAGGCGUUACGCGGAGCGAGCAGAGAUGCGAGCGAAGCUGCUGAUCCCACACUGUCGAGAAAAGCUUCUAGUGAGAGAGCUGCCGCCCGUACCGUAAACCGACACAGGUAUGCGGGGAGAGAAUCCUAAGGUGCGCGGGAGAACCCUCGUUAAGGAACUCGGCAAAAUGUACCCGUAACUUCGGGAUAAGGGUAGCCGUCUUGGUGAAGGAGCUUGCCUCUGGAGCUGAAGGCGGUCGCAGAGAAGAGGCCCAAGCGACUGUUUACCACAAACACAGGUGCCUGCUAAAGCGAAAGCUGACGUAUAGGUGCUGACACCUGCCCAGUGCUGGAAGGUUAAGGAAGGAUGUCCGGGCAACCAAAGCAUUCGACCGAAGCCCCAGUGAACGGCGGCCGUAACUAUAACGGUCCUAAGGUAGCGAAAUUCCUUGUCGGGUAAGUUCCGACCCGCACGAAAGGUGUAACGAUUUGGGCACUGUCUCAACGAGGGACCCGGUGAAAUUGAAAUACCUGUGAAGAUGCAGGUUACCCGCGACUGGACAGAAAGACCCCAUGGAGCUUUACUGUAACCUGACAUUGGGUUUUGUUGUAUUACGUACAGGAUAGGUGGGAGGCUUGGAAGGCUGGACGCUAGUCUGGCUGGAGCCGGCGUUGGGAUACCACCCUUGAUACAACGGAAUUCUAACCGAGAGAGUAACGAAAUCCGGGACAGUGUCAGGCGGGCAGUUUGACUGGGGCGGUCGCCUCCGAA